AUGGACACGGAGCCCUUCGACGAGGCGGACCUCCUCGCCCUCCCUGCCUCCCCCGUCGCAUCCCCUCCCCGCCGCCUCAAGCGCCUCAAGAAAUCCUUCCAGGCCGCCGCCGCCGUCUCCCCUCCCAAAUCCCCGCCGCCGCAGCCGCCGGCGGAGGAGGAAACCCUGGCCCCGCACCUCGGGUCUCCCCCUCCUCCUCCGAACCACUCCCCGUCGCCGCCGUCAGCGGAGGAAGCCGUCGCCCCGCGCCUAGGAUCUCCUCUUCCCAACGCCUCCCCGCCGCCGUCAGAGCAGCAAACCGUGGCCCCGCGCCUAGGGUCCCCUCUUCUUCCUCCUCCGCCGCCGCCAGCAGAUGCGGACGCCGCUGCCCCGGCGCCGUCCUCGCCUCCCGUCCCCGUGUCCUCGCCGCUGCCGCCGGCCGAUACGGCGGAGGACGAGGAGGAGGAGGAAGAUGAUGACGAUGACGGGCUCGAUCCGCUCUUCUCGGAGUCCGCCGGCGGCGCGGGGUGGGACCCGCUGGGUCUGCCGACGGGAGAGGACGAGGAGGAGGAGAUGCUGGCGGGAGGCGGGCUCAUCGAGGAGCUGCGGAGGGAGAAGGAGAAGUCCUCCGCCAAGAAGCGGCUCAACAUGGACGAGGGGGAAGACGGCGGGCGCGAGAUGGACGUCGAGCCGGAGCCGGAGGUCGCUGUGACGGGGAAGAGGAGCAAGAGGAAGAAGAAGGAUGCGGACGUGGAAGGGAAGGGGAAGAAGAAGAAGAAGGGGGAGGAUGGGGAGGGGAAGAAGAGGAAGAAGGACAAGGCGCCCAAGGAGUCGGUCGCAUCGAAGAAACGGGCUGAGAAGGAGAGGAGGGCUCAGCUUGAAUCCAUCCAUGCCGAGUCGCAGAGGCUGCUGCGAGAGACAAGAAAGGCAUCAUUUAAGCCAAUUGCAGAGCCAGUGUACAAACCCAUCUCCUCAGUUCUGGAGAAGAUCCGCCUUCGGAAGCUGGAGAUUCAGAAAAUGUCAAAUACUCCUGUCGAAGAAGAAGAGGAAGAAGAAGACCAAGACGAAGAAGAGGAGGAAGAAGAAGAUGCCUCUUCAGAGCCCGAGAGUGAUCCCGCUGAACAGCCAGCCAUGGCUGAGGCUAAGGAAGUGGGUUCAGAUGACAAAAAUUUGAAGAAUGAUGCUGCUGACAAGGAGGUUGGAGCAAAUACUGGUGACCUGAAUGACCACGCCAGUCUCCCUGAGGAUGAGGAUGCUGUGAUUAGUGACAAGGAUCUUAAUAAACGUGGUAGCAAAUCUCCAAACAAGGAACUUGUUGAUAAUUCUCAAGAUAAACACGAAGACAAUGCCCAACCAAGUGACGACUCCAUCGAUGCUGUAGAUGAAGAAGCCCAUCUGCCUCCCUCUUCAAGCCCUACCAAGAAUACAGAUGAUAGUUCUUCAGAAGAUGAAGAAGAGGAAGAAGAUAAUGACAAGGAGAACAUAUAUCCAGGCAUUAAAAAAAAUGAUGUAAAUACCCAUCAACAACCUCGACGAACUCUUGCAAGUGAUUCACGUCCAGAUGCUGCUGUCCUGAAAGACUUUCUAGACGUUGAAGCUGAGGAAGAGGAUGACAGUGAUGAUGACAUGGCGAGGUUUAAGGACAACGAAGAAGAUGAUGGCGAUGAUGAAAAUGAAGUACUUACUGCUCUGAUUGCUGCUGGAUUUGAAGAAGAAGAAGUAGAUCAUGAGAAACGUAAUGCACUCCACCAAAAGUGGCUUCAGGAUCAAGAUGCCGCUGAAACAAAUAAUUUCAUUCAAAGAUUAAAAUAUGGUCAUCAGGAGCAGAAAGUGUUAAUGGAGGAAGACGAAGAUGAUAUCGAAGACUGUGAGGACGAAUCAGAAAAUGAAAGGUCACAUGACUUGACUCCAAAUAUUGUGCGGAAGAAUUCUGAGAAGGCAAAACAAAUGAUUGCCAAAAUGUUCACAGACGAGAAUGACACUUAUGAGCACUCUGAUGAUGAGGAAAUAGAGGAGCAUUUGGCCCGUCAACGUAUUUCAAAGCGAGAAGUUCAUAGUACUUCAUUCACAUCUCCAUUGGAAGAUGACAGUUCAAGGGAAAUGUUUAGCCUUAUAAAGAAGCUCAAUAUUGCUCCUCAACCCCCCAAGAGGAGGGGAAAGCAAGCCACAUCAAAUCUUGAAAUGCUUAUGGUCGGAAGUAACAGCAACUCAUCUUCAAAGUCGUCUUUUCUCGGCCGAACAACGAGUGGUCCAAUCUCGUCUUCUCAUAGAUCAACUUACAAAGGCUACAUUUUCGGUCGUGAUGACAGCAAUAGCAACAGCAAGAGCUGCUUUGCAGCCUCUGAGAGUAACUCGGAUGUGCAGGACCAGGCGAACCCCAGCCAACCCAAGAAAGCGAAGUUCAGCAGUUCACAGACAAAGCCAGCCGCACCAGGCACAAGCUCCGAGGGCGGCUCGAGUUCAGGCGCCUCUCUGUUCGAGCUCCUGCGCAGGUCAACUUCCGCCGCCGAAAAGCAAGAGCACAAGCGCCCUGAAAGCUUCGGCAUCAUCACGGAGAGCCAAGCCGUGCACCAGUUCUCGGCGUUCAAGCUGUCAAGGAAGUUCUCCAAGAUAGGAGCAAGGAACUGA
rnacentral:rRNA from 1 species